rnacentral:rRNA from 1 species
GACGAACGCUGGCGGCGUGCUUAACACAUGCAAGUCGAACGAAGAGCGAUGGAAGCUUGCUUCUAUCAAUCUUAGUGGCGAACGGGUGAGUAACGCGUAAUCAACCUGCCCUUCAGAGGGGGACAACAGUUGGAAACGACUGCUAAUACCGCAUACGAUCUAAACUCGGCAUCGAAGAUAGAUGAAAGGUGGCCUCUACAUGUAAGCUAUCACUGAAGGAGGGGAUUGCGUCUGAUUAGCUAGUUGGAGGGGUAACGGCCCACCAAGGCGAUGAUCAGUAGCCGGUCUGAGAGGAUGAACGGCCACAUUGGGACUGAGACACGGCCCAGACUCCUACGGGAGGCAGCAGUGGGGAAUCUUCCGCAAUGGACGAAAGUCUGACGGAGCAACGCCGCGUGAGUGAUGACGGCCUUCGGGUUGUAAAGCUCUGUUAAUCGGGACGAAAGGCCUUCUUGCGAAUAGUGAGAAGGAUUGACGGUACCGGAAUAGAAAGCCACGGCUAACUACGUG